rnacentral:rRNA from 1 species
UACGGGAGGCAGCAGUGGGGAAUAUUGCACAAUGGGCGCAAGCCUGAUGCAGCCAUGCCGCGUGUAUGAAGAAGGCCUUCGGGUUGUAAAGUACUUUCAGUCGUGAGGAAGGUGUUAAGGUUAAUAACCUUAGCAAUUGACGUUAGCGACAGAAGAAGUCCUGGCUAACUCCGUGCCAGCAGCCGCGGUAAUACGGAGAGGGCUAGCGUUAUUCGGAAUUAUUGGGCGUUAAAGAGCGCGUAGGCUGAUUAGUAGUUAAAAGUGAAAUCCCAAAGCUUAACUUUGGAAUUGCUUUUUAAAACUGCUAGUCUAGAGAUUGAAAGAGGAUAGAGGAAUUCCUAGUGUAGAGGUGAAAUUCGGUAAAUAUUUAGGAGGAACACCAGUGGCGAAGGCGUCUAUCUGGUUCAAAUCUGACGCUGAGGCGCGAAGGCGUGGGGAGCAAACAGGGAUUAGAUACC